CGAAGGAUCCAAGCGUUAUCCGGAUUUAUUGGGUUUAAAGGGUGCGUAGGCGGGCUAUUAAGUCAGUGGUGAAAUCCUGCAGCUUAACUGUAGAAUUGCCAUUGAUACUGAUGGUCUUGAGUACACUUGAGGUGGGCGGAAUGUGUCAUGUAGCGGUGAAAUGCUAAGAUAUGACACAGAACACCGAUUGCGAAGGCAGCUCACUAAAUUGUAACUGACGCUGAGGCACGAAAGCGUGGGGAUCAAACAGGAUUAGAUACCCUGGUAGUCCACGCCCUAAACGAUGAUUACUCGAUGUGUGCAAUACACCGUACGCGUCUGAGCGAAAGCAUUAAGUAAUCCACCUGGGGAGUACGACCGCAAGGUUG
rnacentral:rRNA from 1 species